GACAGAGGGUGCGAGCGUUAAUCGGAAUGAUUGGGCGUAAAGGGCGUGUAGGUGGUAAUUCAGGUUUGGUGUGAAAGCUCUCGGCUCAACCGAGAAAGUGCAUCAAAUACCAAAUUGCUAGAGUGAGAGAGAGGACUGUGGAAUUUUCGGUGUAGCGGUGAAAUGCGUAGAUAUCGAAAGGAACACCAGUGGCGAAGGCGACAGUCUGGCUCUAUACUGACACUGAGGCGCGAAGGCGUGGGGAGCAAACAGG
rnacentral:rRNA from 1 species